rnacentral:rRNA from 1 species
GAUGAACGCUGGCGGCGUGCCUAAUACAUUCAAGUCGAGCGAACAGACGAGGAGCUUGCUCCUCUGACGUUAGCGGCGGACGGGUGAGUAACACGUUGAUAACCUACCUAUAAGACUGGGAUAACUUCGGGAAACCGGAGCUAAUACCGGAUAACAUGUUGAACCGCAUGGUUUAACAUUUAAAAACGGUCUUGCUGUCACUUAUAGAUGGAUCCGCGCCGCAUUAGGUAGUUGGUAAGGUAACGGCUUACCAAGGCAACGAUGCGUAUCCGACCUGAGAGGGGGAUCAGCCACACCGGAACUGAGACACGAUCCAGACUCCUACGAGAGGCAGCAGUAGGGAAUCUUCCGCAAUGGGCGAAAGCAUGACGGAGCAAAGCCGCGUGAGUGAUGAAGGUCUUCGGAUAGUAAAACUCUGUUAUUAGGGAAGAACAAAGAUGUAAGUAACUAUGCACGUCGUGACGGUACCUGAGCAGAAAGACACGGCUAACUACGUG